UCAGGACGAACGGCUGGCGGCGUGCCUAAUACAUGCAAGUCGAGCGAACAGAGAGGGAGCUUGCUCCUCGACGUAGCGGCGGACGGGUGAGUAACACGUGGGCAACCUACCUUAUAGUUUGGGAUAACUCCGGGAAAACCGGGGCUAAUACCGAAUAAUCUGUUUCACCUCAUGGUGAAACACUGAAAGACGGUUUCGGCUGUCGCUAUAGGAUGGGCCCGCGGCGCAUUAGCUAGUUGGUGAGGUAACGGCUCACCAAGGCGACGAUGCGUAGCCGACCUGAGAGGGUGAUCGGCCACACUGGGACUGAGACACGGCCCAGACUCCUACGGGAGGCAGCAGUAGGGAAUCUUCCACAAUGGGCGAAAGCCUGAUGGAGCAACGCCGCGUGAGUGAAGAAGGAUUUCGGUUCGUAAAACUCUGUUGUAAGGGAAGAACAAGUACAGUAGUAACUGGCUGUACCUUGACGGUACCUUAUUAGAAAGCCACGGCUAACUACGUGCCAGCCGCAGC
rnacentral:rRNA from 1 species